CUGGUUGUCAACAGGAUCUAGAAUCAUCUAGGAGUCAAACCUUUGGAUGUACCUGGGAGGGAAUUACCUGGGUCAAGGUGGGAACACCAACCCUACAUGUGUGUGGCUGCCGUUGGUCCUAGCCUGAAUACAAAGGGGAAAGCAAGCUGGGGACCAGCAUCCCUCUCUCUGGCUUCCUGACUAAGGACAUUGUUGUGUCACCAGCUGCCUCAUGCUCCUGCCACUGAAUCAUCCCAGAACACUACCCUGAAACUGUGAAGGCAGAACAAACCUUCCUUCCCUGUACUAUCAGGAAUUGGUUUCAGCACUGAGAAAAGUUACCAGAAUGGACUUGAAUUUGGCAACUUGGCAACAGAUUAGUCAACCUGAUCCUUGGAAAUCAGACUCACCAAACUCUCGAGUGUUUUAGUUCCUGUUACUAUACACUUUCUGGUAAGAAUUUUUUUAAUGGUGCUACUUUUAAUAUUUAAUAAAUGGAACCAUGGCUCA
rnacentral:lncRNA from 1 species